UUUGUGUCUCUUGCUGACUGUGGUAAUCCUGGUUUGUCCUUCACCAGCUCACCAAGCUCGAGUCCUUCGUGAAAGGAAGAACAAAUAUGUUCUGGGAGGCAAACUACUGAGGUGAGAAAAAGGAGAGAGAGCAGAGGGGAAACAAAACACAUCUUCACCUAUAGAGCUUUAUUUACCUAUCUGCACCACAAAGCUUGCAUGAUAUUACUGUGUAGCUUGAUUUUUCCAAGCACUGACUCCCAGCUGGCUGGUGGCAAGAAGCUCCUUCAGAUGGCAGCAGAAAGACCUAUCCAUUCUGCAAAGCUCAUUGCUGGUCGGUGGGGCAGCAGGAGGACUUCCCCGUGCCUUUUCAGACAGCAGCUCAGCACCGCAGCACCUUGAUUGCCCCAGACAAGUUAGGGCAGGGCAGCUGUGCCCCAGCCACAGUUUGCAGCACAGGAUGGAUGAGCUUUCCUUUGAACUGCUGAACUACAGAUUCCUCUUCUGGCCAAGCAACUGUGAUGGGUGGGACAAGGGGAAAAGAAAGAGUUGCUCAGCGAAUAACAUACCAGUAUGCCUGUGUCUGGAGGAGAUGGAGAGCAAUUUUCAAAUUUCAUCCACAUGAUGGAUGUGGAAGGGAAGCCAUGGGAUAUGAGGACACCCGACCAGAAACAAGCUGCCUUUUUGUUGUUAAUAGCCAGGAAGUCUCUGCGGUGCAGAUGUGACAGCAACAGCAAAACCUAUUUCGAGGCCCUGUCCCAUGAAGUAGCUGUGAGUAUCAGCAACCACACAAAAGAGCUAGCAGGGGGACGGGGAGGAGAGACUCUUGAAAAUCACAAAUGUCAUCUAUCCAUCCUGCUGGAAUGUGGUAAUUAUUUGUGGAUCUAAUUGCCUCAACCCCAUCAAAGUAAAAGCAUGGCACUGCUAUCUAUUGUUA